AGAGUUUGAUCCUGGCUCAGGACGAACGCUGGCGGCGUGCUUAACACAUGCAAGUCGAACGAGAAUCUGUGGAAAGAGGAUUCGUCCAAUUGAAGCAGAGGACAGUGGCGGACGGGUGAGUAACGCGUGAGGAACCUGCCUUUCAGAGGGGGACAACAGUUGGAAACGACUGCUAAUACCGCAUAACACAUAGGUGUCGCAUGGCACUUAUGUCAAAGAUUUAUCGCUGAAAGAUGGCCUCGCGUCUGAUUAGCUAGUUGGUGAGGUAACGGCCCACCAAGGCGACGAUCAGUAGCCGGACUGAGAGGUUGAACGGCCACAUUGGGACUGAGAUACGGCCCAGACUCCUACGGGAGGCAGCAGUGGGGAAUAUUGGGCAAUGGGCGCAAGCCUGACCCAGCAACGCCGCGUGAAGGAAGAAGGCUUUCGGGUUGUAAACUUCUUUUGUCAGGGACGAGUAGAAGACGGUACCUGACGAAUAAGCCACGGCUAACUACGUGCCAGCAGCCGCGGUAAUACGUAGGUGGCAAGCGUUGUCCGGAUUUACUGGGUGUAAAGGGCGUGUAGCCGGGAGGGCAAGUCAGAUGUGAAAUCCACGGGCUCAACUCGUGAACUGCAUUUGAAACUACUCUUCUUGAGUAUCGGAGAGGCAAUCGGAAUUCCUAGUGUAGCGGUGAAAUGCGUAGAUAUUAGGAGGAACACCAGUGGCGAAGGCGGAUUGCUGGACGACAACUGACGGUGAGGCGCGAAAGCGUGGGGAGCAAACAGGAUUAGAUACCCUGGUAGUCCACGCUGUAAACGAUGAAUACUAGGUGUGCGGGGACUGACCCCCUGCGUGCCGCAGCUAACGCAAUAAGUAUUCCACCUGGGGAGUACGAUCGCAAGGUUGAAACUCAAAGGAAUUGACGGGGGCCCGCACAAGCGGUGGAUUAUGUGGUUUAAUUCGAAGCAACGCGAAGAACCUUACCAGGGCUUGACAUCCUACUAACGAGAUAGAGAUAUGUUAGGUGCCCUUCGGGGAAAGUAGAGACAGGUGGUGCAUGGUUGUCGUCAGCUCGUGUCGUGAGAUGUUGGGUUAAGUCCCGCAACGAGCGCAACCC
rnacentral:rRNA from 1 species